rnacentral:tRNA from 1 species
CGCUGAUAACCCCUGGACGGUCCCCGGCCUUGGUUCGGGACCAAGGGGUCGCAGGUUCGAAUCCUGUCUCCCCGACCA